rnacentral:rRNA from 1 species
GAUGAACGCUGGCGGCGUGCCUAAUACAUGCAAGUCGAGCGAACAGACGAUGAGCUUGCUCCUCUGACGUUAGCGGCGGACGGGUGAGUAACACGUGGAUAACCUUCCUAUAAGACUGGGAUAACUUCGGGAAACCGGAGCUAAUACCGGAUAAUAUAUUGAACCGCAUGGUUCAAUAGUGAAAGACGGUUUUGCUGUCACUUAGAGAUGGAUCCGCGCCGGAUUAGCUAGUUGGUAAGGUAAAGGCCUACCAAGGCGACGAUGCGUAGCUGACCUGAGAGGAUGAUCAGCCACACUGGAACUGAGACACGGUCCAGACUCCUACGGGAGGCAGCAGUGGGGAAUAUUGGACAAUGGGCGCAAGCCUGAUCCAGCCAUACCGCGUGGGUGAAGAAGGCCUUCGGGUUGUAAAGCCCUUUUGUUGGGAAAGAAAAGCAGCAGGUUAAUACCCCGCUGUUCUGACGGUACCCAAAGAAUAAGCACCGGCUAACUUCGUG